CUCCCUCUUUACUUUGAAAAUCCUCAGAUGUCCUUCUUUCCAUUCCCAAACUACCCUAUGCAAACCACCAUCCUUUCAGGCGGAAUUUCAGUAAAAUCCAAACACGUUUCUCUCUGAUCUGUGAAUACCGCGACCUGGGUUCUCUUUCCAUUAAGAAUACUUGUAUACAGUUCAUGGGCAUGGAGAAGCUUGCAGGACAGUUCUUUUGUGCUCAAUGCAAGAUAUUCUGUUCGAUAUGUGCAUGUUGAUAGCAGAUUGCGGCAGACUACAUUCUCUAAAUAUGUUCACAGGUGAACUGUUGAUCCCAAGCUGUCCCUAGUUAUACCAAAUCACCUCUAUCUUUUGUAUCUGACCUGGGAAAGCAACAAAACUAGUAUCUGACCUUGGAAAACAACAAACUAAGGCAUGCUUUCUGAUUGGGCUCUCUACGGUGAAACUUGGCACAAAUCUUCAAAACAUGAUGAAUAUCCUCGGGAUGAUGAAUGCAGAAAAUCCAUUUCAACUAGGGAGGAAAAAGAUGAGGUUGUUACAAAUAGCCCCCUUCUUCAUUAUGGGAUAUGCUCCAAUGUAUCAGCAAUUGAAGACAUGUGCGAAAGUUCUUCACCUAAAAAGAAUGACUUUGUGUACAAGCGACGAAGGAAGCUUGAGAACUCCAUCGCUUUUUUGUUGGAGCAUGCAGCAACAGGCAGUGCGAAGGGAGACAAUGCCUUUCUCUCUAGUGUAAGUUCUGACUCCGGCAAGGCUUCUAUUAUGCCUGUACGAGUAUGGGAUAGAGAUGUUUUGUGUAAUGUAAACACAUCAGACUGUCAGCAGCACAAUCCACAAAAUCCUGACAAUGUACACAGCAAACAGAUUUAUGAGAAUUUGGAGGCUGUUGCGAUGUUGGAUUCAGUUAAUGACUGUUCAAUUGGAGAAGUGAAAGGAUGGACAGAAGCAUCUGCCAUUGAUGACCAAAUAUCAGCUUUGGUGUAUUGCUCCAGCACAAAUGAUAGCUUCUCUUCUUUGAAAUCUAAUGUGGAACAUGGUUUCGAUUUCAUAAGGACUGAAGCAGAUUACGCGACAGAGUGCUCAUCUUCUAAUAUUGCUAGAGAGGCAUUGAGGAAAUGCAGCUCGAAAAAGGAAUCGCAUGAUUUUACUGGAUCUUGUGUUUCUCCGGAUAUCGUGGGCGUUCAUGGGGAUGCCGGUGCUUCUCUAUCUUGCAAAGUAUGUUAUCGUAUAGAAAAUCCGUUGAAGAUGCUCAUUUGUGACCUUUGUGAAGAAGCAUUUCAUUUGUCUUGCUGCAAUCCUAGAAUAAAAAGGAUACCAGUUGAUGAAUGGUAUUGUCAACCUUGUUUAAAGAAGAAGCCGAAACCUUUAUUAGGUAUCGCUGGUUCUCGUAAAUCAUUGAAUACUGCGAGUGAAGAAUAUAGAAGAAAAUCAUUGCAAAGCUGUGACCCAAUAUUGUUCAUGUUUGAAGACACAGAGCCAUAUACAACCGGGGUCCGGAUUGGUAAAGCUUUUCAAGCAGAUGUUCCAGACUGGUCUGGUCCAAUAUCUGACAACUCUAAUAUAUUUGGUGAGCCUCUGGAAAUAGAUCCUGCAGAGUGUGCUAGACUGAAUGGUUGGACUUGCAACAAACAGAAAUCUGUCGGUAACUGGAUUCAAUGUCGAGAGGUCAUAGAUGAAGAUGGGGGAGUUAUUUGUGGAAAGUGGCGCAGGGCACCUCUUUUUGAAGUUCAAACUGAUGAUUGGGACUGCUCCUGUUCUGUUCUUUGGGACCCAAUCCAUUCUGAUUGUGCUGUACCUCAGGAGCUGGCAACUGAGGAAGUUAUGGGGCAUCUAAAAUACAUAGAGCUGCUGAGGAACCAGCUGGCUGGCAAAGAGCAGAAGCAAACUCAAUGGUUCUGAGUAGCGACAGACUUAAGCUACUAGUGUAACAUUAAACAUGCUGAUGACCCAUGAAAUCAUGUAAUGAUUUAUUAUUGUGAGGCCGAAGCCAAGAACAAUGUAUGAUUGUUGUAACACUGAGUGACCGAUCCUGGUCGAAGUCUUUUGAACA